CGCGCGAUGACGGCGGGGUCCGCCGCGAUCGCGGACUGGAUGGAAAUGGAGGAGGGAAGGCGUGGCGGCCCUGGGUUGGGCUUGAGUGAGGAAGGGGGCAAGAUGGAGGAUGGCCUGGACGUGGCCGAGGAUUGGCUAUGGGUGUGGACUCAGGGAACUCAUUGGCUGUGGAGUCGGCCGGGAUCACAUGCUGGUUCAGGCAGGCCAUCAAGGUCCUCAGAAUCACCUGGAAGCUUGCUGGAAAUGCCUGUUCUCAGCCUCUGUCCCAGAUCUACUGAAUUAGAGUUUUCUCUUUGGGCUCCAUGUCCCUGAGCUGAGGUACUUCAGAGCUGGAGAGGAAGCAAUAGGAGUUCCUACCUGUGCUUUUCUCUUCAGUCCAGGUAAGGUUGUUUCUGUCACUUCUCUUUUCUUUCACUGGAUCGCUGGACUUUUAUUUCACCCCUUUAGUGUUGUGUAGCUUUCUGGAUUUUCCUCAGUGAACCUUUGUAAUGGCUUCAGAGCCUAAUGAAACUGAAAGUACUUCUUUCAAGGCAGUGACUCAGUAACCAUAAAUGCAAUUUCUGGAUUCUGCUAGUAGGAGGGUUUAAAGUCAAGUUUCAAAGUUUUUUUAUUGGAAGAGAUCUUAGAGACCAUUUAUUGUUUUAAAAACAUGUCCAUUAGGUAUUGAAAAAAAUGGAAUAUAUCUCAAGAUUGGAGAUCUGUUUGAGUAUUGUAGAAUGAGGAGGCAUCAUAUUAAUUUUUAGAUAUAAUUUCCUAUAACAAGAGACAAUUCACAAUGGAGCCGCCUAUUCUUUUAGAGGUGCAGUAAGUCAGGAAAGGGCAUGUUUUACACACACAUGAACACCUAGUCCCUGGCACUUAACACCCAGCACACAGUCAGGAGGGGGCUCCAUGCAUUGUACUCAAGUUCCAGGCUCAGUGCUGACUGCUUUACAUGAAUUACACUACUUAAAUCUCAUAACAAGUAUUUCCCUAUGAUUUUAUAGAAACCAAGGCACAGAAAGACUUUAUCAGUUGUCUAAACUCAUAGCACUAUAACUAAUCUGAACCCAGGGAGUCCUGAUCCCAAACUGUCUUCUUGAACCACCUUACUGUGCUGCCUCUGUUUGUUGCCACGGACUCCUGGUUUCAAGUUAUGUUACCUGAGCAUGCCCAGACACACUCUGCAUACAACCACGGUGGAACCUAAGUACUUGGACCAAGGAGCAGGGCUGAUUUAAGAAGGAGACACCUCAGGGCUUAAUCUGUGAUCUGAACAGAUCCAGCCCUGACAUCACCUCAUGGCACGAUGCAGUCAGAUCUUACCUCAUUACCCUCUGUCUAUAAAACCUGCCCCAACCCCCAGAUCUGAGAGACAAAUUUGAACAUUUCUCCCAUCUCCUUGCUAGUCGACUAAAAAUAAACCUUUCCCUCUAAAAAACCCUUGUGCUUCCUUGUUUGGCUUUCCAUUGCAAUCAGGCAAACGGCCUCCAUUGGUUUAGGUAACUGACACUCCCAAGACUCAAGGAGCUGCCGCGCAGCACUAUUUUGAGAGCCCAGCCCCCACCAGACUGUAUCUUGCUCUGGGGCCCAACAGCCCCAUCAUCUCCACGUCCCUGGAGCCCUGCGGACGUCUCUUCAUUUCCACCCAGAGGGCUGCAACUUUGUCCCGUGGGCUGAAUCCAGUGGUGCAGUAAGGAACAGGCAGUGCACCAUACCAGGGAGGCUGCCCUCAGGACAAAGGGAGCCCAAAUGCACACUCUGCUGUUUCUGAAAGCCACUUGCCUGGGGCCACUGCCACUGACAGCAACCCUCUCAACCUUCCACCCGAAGCAGGGCCACCAAGCAUCUGCAUGUGCCUCCAAUGGUCCUGGAGCUGGUCUGCCCAGACACUGUUCUGUGUCCUGAGGACAGGCUCUCAUACCACCCCCACGCAAACAUGCUGCCCAGGGCCUGGGGAUCAUGCUGCCUCAACUGUAGCUGCGGGCGUGUG